rnacentral:tRNA from 1 species
GAGAGAGGCUCGCUAGCCAUGAGGACUGCUAAUCUUCAUUUUCCCUUAGUUGAACUCUAAGGCUCCCUCA